AUCUUUUUUUUUUUUGCCGUGGUAGCAAGUAAUUAGGAGUUAAAAUCAUGUUUAGGAAAUUCACUUAAUUUUGCUGUUGUCAGUGAAUAUGGUUGUGAAUGAACUAGACAAGACCUUGUAACACCAAAGAAAAAGCCACUUUCUGAAGGAAAAAGAAAAUUGUACCCGGAAGUUUAAUGAAAACGUGGUGAGACCUGGUGGCGAUGAUUAGGAUAAGGAAAUAGAGUGGAGCAAGGGCCAAGGCUUGGCUCAGAAAAAGAAAUUUACUUUAGCAUCUGUGUCACUCUUUGUAUGGCUACAAGCUAUAUGGAGGCUUGCCUCCCUUAUAAACUAUGGAGAUGGUCACAUCUACUGCUGUUAGCAAAGUGUUAGGUAGAAGAGGGACAAAUAUAACUAAUUUCAGGAAGGUCUUGAAGUGUGGGGUCUCUCUUUACAUCCAGCCAAUAUUUCCAAGUUUGGCAUGUUUUUAAUUGACCUUGAGAUAUGAUUGCAUGAUGUAAUAUUGCCAAUUUAUAAGUAAUCCUGUUUAUUUGAAAGAUUUUUUGUUUAUUUUCAAAAUUGAUUGGCUUAAAAUUGGGUCGUGGUGUGUAAUUUACAUUUUGUUCUCUCAUGAUUAUCUAUUUUUUCUGGACACAUGGUAGGUUUGAUAUGUGUGCUUGGUUAUGUUUUUGUUGAAAAUUUAUAUCUAAACUUUAAUUUUGUUCAGCCACACCUCAAUGAAAAAGAUAUCAACAAUAAUUGAGAGAGUAAAAAGUAGCCAUGAACAAGAAUAACAUCUCCAAUUCUAAUGGAUGCAUGGACAAUUUUGCAGCUUUGGAGAAAAACUUUAAUCUAUUUAUUAUUAUUUGGCAUUUGUAAUAAAUAGUACUCAAAUAAUUUAAGAGAUAAAAAGAAGAGUAAAUAUUUGCUGGCUUUAAUUUUUGUUUUUGGAAUUACCUGAUUUUUUUCAUUGGUCUAUUUAUAUAAGUUGUUGCAUUGGCCUCUCUUCCUUAAUUAGUUUCUUAAAAUUUAAACAUAAUUUUCAAUGUGUUAAUAAUUUGUAUUUUGUUAUUUUUCAACUAUUUCUAUUUUAUGUUAUAUUUACACAACCUUCUAAAAAGAACUAAUUCAAAGCAAGCAUUAUAUUCAUCCUAUAAAGAGUUUUACUUGCAGUUGAUAUGUUUUGCUAAAACUAUAACCAAGAUUCACAUUAUUAUCUCAAAUUACUUGGGUUGUUGACAUCCAUGUUGCAAGUGGAGAUUUAGAUAUAUUUUUCUUUUAGCAAUGAUAGUGAUUGCA